rnacentral:rRNA from 1 species
AUCCUGCCGGACCCGACUGCUAUCGGAUUGGGACUAAGCCAUGCGAGUCAACUCCGCAAGGGGUGGCGCACGGCUCAGUAACACGUAGUCAACCUACCCUGGGGACGGGGAUAACCUCGGGAAACUGAGGCUAAACCCCGAUGGGCCAUGGCUCCUGGAAUGGGCUAUGGCUGAAAUCUACAUGGCCCCAGGAUGGGACUGCGGCCGAUCAGGUUGUCGGUGGGGUAAUGGCCCACCAAGCCUAUAACCGGUGCGGGCUCUGAGAGGAGGAGCCCGGAGAUGGGCACUGAGACAAGGGCCCAGGUCCUAUGGGGCGCAGCAGGCGCGAAACCUCCGCAAUGGGCGAAAGCCCGACGGGGUCAGUCCGAGUGGUUCCCGCUGAGGGAACCUUUUGCCAGCUGUAAACAGGCUGGCGAAUAAGGGGUGGGCAAGUUUGGUGUCAGCCGCCGCGGUAAUACCAGCACCCCGAGUGGUCGGGACGAUUAUUGGGCCUAAAGCAUCCGUAGCCGGCCCAGUAAGUCCUCCGUUAAAUCCAACGGCUCAACCGUUGGGCUGCGGGGGAUACUGCUGGGCUAGGGACGGGAGAGGCGAGGGGUGUUCCCGGGGUAGGGGUAAAAUCCACUGAUCCCGGGAGGACCACCAGUGGCGAAGGCGCCUCGCUAGAACGUGCCCGACGGUGAGGGAUGAAAGCUGGGGGAGCGAACCGGAUUAGAUACCCGGGUAGUCCCAGCCGUAAACGAUGUAGGCUCGGUGUUGGGCUGCCUCAGUGGCAGCCCAGUGCCGCAGGGAAGCCGUUAAGCCAACCGCCUGGGGAGUACGGCCGCAAGGCUGAAACUUAA